rnacentral:rRNA from 1 species
UACGGGGGGAGCAAGCGUUGUUCGGAUUUACUGGGCGUAAAGGGCGCGUAGGCGGUCGUGACAAGUCACUUGUGAAAUCUCCGGGCUUAACUCGGAACGGUCAAGUGAUACUGUCGGACUAGAGUACAGAAGGGGCAACUGGAAUUCUCGGUGUAGCGGUGAAACGCGUAGAUAUCAAGAGGAACACCUGAGGCGAAGGCGGGUUGCUAGGCUGACACUGACGCUGAGUGCGCGAAAGCCAGGGGAGCAAACGGG